rnacentral:rRNA from 1 species
ACGGGGGGAGCAAGCGUUGUUCGGAUUUACUGGGCGUAAAGGGCGCGUAGGCGGCCACGACAAGUCAGUUGUGAAAUCUCUGGGCUUAACUCAGAGCGGUCAACUGAUACUGUCGGGCUAGAGUGCAGAAGGGGCAACUGGAAUUCUCGGUGUAGCGGUGAAAUGCGUAGAUAUCGAGAGGAACACCUGCGGCGAAGGCGGGUUGCUGGGCUGACACUGACGCUGAGGCGCGAAAGCUAGGGGAGCGAACGGGA